UACGUAGGGUGCGAGCGUUAAUCGGAAUUACUGGGCGUAAAGCGCGCGUAGGCGGCUUUGCAAGUCGGGUGUGAAAUCCCCAGGCUUAACCUGGGAACUGCAUUCGAGACUGCAUUGCUAGAGUAUGGGAGAGGGAAGUGGAAUUUCCGGUGUAGCGGUGAAAUGCGUAGAUAUCGGAAGGAACAUCAGUGGCGAAAGCGACUUCCUGGGCCAAUACUGACGCUCAUGUGCGAAAGCGUGGGGAGCAAACAGG
rnacentral:rRNA from 1 species